rnacentral:tRNA from 1 species
AUGGAUUAGUUUAUAAAAAGCUGCUAACUUUUUUAUAGCGAAUAGCUACUUUAUA